CCUACGGGAGGUAGCAGUGGGGAAUAUUGGACAAUGGGGGCAACCCUGAUCCAGCCAUGCCGCGUGUGUGAAGAAGGCCCUCGGGUUGUAAAGCACUUUCAGCGAGGAAGAACGCCUAGCGGUUAAUACCCGCUAGGAAAGACAUCACUCGCAGAAGAAGCACCGGCUAACUCCGUGCCAGCAGCCGCGGUAAUACGGAGGGUGCAAGCGUUAAUCGGAAUUACUGGGCGUAAAGCGCGCGUAGGUGGCUUGAUAAGCCGGUUGUGAAAGCCCCGGGCUCAACCUGGGAACGGCAUCCGGAACUGUCAAGCUAGAGUGCAGGAGAGGAAGGUAGAAUUCCCGGUGUAGCGGUGAAAUGCGUAGAGAUCGGGAGGAAUACCAGUGGCGAAGGCGGCCUUCUGGACUGACACUGACACUGAGGUGCGAAAGCGUGGGUAGCAAACAGGAUUAGAUACCCUGGUAGUCCACGCCGUAAACGAUGUCGACCAGCCGUUGGGUGCCUAGCGCACUUUGUGGCGAAGUUAACGCGAUAAGUCGACCGCCUGGGGAGUACGGCCGCAAGGUUAAAACUCAAAUGAAUUGACGGA
rnacentral:rRNA from 1 species